rnacentral:rRNA from 1 species
AUGUGAAGCGAACGCGGUGAACUGAAACAUCUAAGUAACCGCAGGAAAAGAAAUCAACCGAGAUUCCCAAAGUAGUGGCGAGCGAAAUGGGAUGAGCCUUGUACUCUUUAUUUGUAUUGUUAGCCGAACGCUCUGGAAAGUGCGGCCAUAGCAGGUGAUAGCCCUGUAGGCGAAAACAGUAUGAAAGAACUAGGUGUACGACAAGUAGGGCGGGACACGUGAAAUCCUGUCUGAAGAUGGGGGGACCAUCCUCCAAGGCUAAAUACUCGUGAUCGACCGAUAGUGAACCAGUACCGUGAGGGAAAGGCGAAAAGAACCCCGGGAGGGGAGUGAAAUAGAUCCUGAAACCGCAUGCAUACAAACAGUCGGAGCCUCGUAAGGGGUGACGGCGUACCUUUUGUAUAAUGGGUCAGCGACUUACGUUCAGUAGCAAGCUUAACCGUAUAGGGCAGGCGUAGCGAAAGCGAGUCCGAAUAGGGCGUUCAGUUGCUGGGCGUAGACCCGAAACCAGGUGAUCUAUCCAUGGCCAGGAUGAAGGUGCGGUAACACGUACUGGAGGUCCGAACCCACUAACGUUGAAAAGUUAGGGGAUGAGCUGUGGAUAGGGGUGAAAGGCUAAACAAACCUGGAAAUAGCUGGUUCUCUCCGAAAACUAUUUAGGUAGUGCCUCGUGUCUCACCUUCGGGGGUAGAGCACUGUCAUGGUUGGGGGGUCUAUUGCAGAUUACCCCGCCAUAGCAAACUCCGAAUACCGAAGAGUGCAAUCACGGGAGACAGACAUCGGGUGCUAACGUCCGGUGUCAAGAGGGAAACAACCCAGACCGCCAGCUAAGGUCCCCAAAUAUGGCUAAGUGGGAAACGAAGUGGGAAGGCUAAAACAGUCAGGAGGUUGGCUUAGAAGCAGCCACCCUUUAAAGAAAGCGUAAUAGCUCACUGAUCGAGUCGUCCUGCGCGGAAGAUGUAACGGGGCUAAGCCAUAUACCGAAGCUGCGGAUGCGUGCUUGCACGCAUGGUAGGAGAGCGUUCCGUAAGCCUGCGAAGGUGCCUUGUAAAGGGUGCUGGAGGUAUCGGAAGUGCGAAUGCUGACAUGAGUAGCGAUAAAGGGGGUGAAAGGCCCCCUCGCCGUAAGCCCAAGGUUUCCUACGCAACGUUCAUCGGCGUAGGGUGAGUCGGCCCCUAAGGCGAGGCAGAAAUGCGUAGCUGAUGGGAAGCAGGUCAAUAUUCCUGCACCAUUGUUAGAUGCGAUGGGGGGACGGAUCGCGGAAGGUUGUCCGGGUGUUGGACGUCCCGGUCGCUGCAUUGGAGAAGGCGCUUAGGCAAAUCCGGGCGCAGGAUUCAAGGGUGUGGCGCGAGCGACUUCG